UACAGAGGGUGCGAGCGUUAAUCGGAAUUACUGGGCGUAAAGCGCACGUAGGUGGCGACGUAAGUCGGGUGUGAAAGCCCCGGGCUCAACCUGGGAAUUGCAUUCGAGACUGCAUUGCUGGAGUACGGAAGAGGAAGGCGGAAUUCCCGGUGUAGCGGUGAAAUGCGUAGAGAUCGGGAGGAACACCAGUGGCGAAGGCGGCUACCUGGACCAGCACUGACACUGAGGCACGAAAGCGUGGGGAGCAAACAGG
rnacentral:rRNA from 1 species